rnacentral:tRNA from 2 species
GGGCCCUUAGCUCAGUUGGUUAGAGCAUCAGACUCAUAAUCUGAGGGUCGCUGGAUCGUUCCCAGCAGGGCCCA